rnacentral:rRNA from 1 species
GAUGAACGCUGGCGGCGUGCCUAAUACAUGCAAGUCGAGCGAACAGACGAGGAGCUUGCUCCUCUGACGUUAGCGGCGGACGGGUGAGUAACACGUGGAUAACCUACCUAUAAGACUGGGAUAACUUCGGGAAACCGGAGCUAAUACCGGAUAAUAUAUUGAACCGCAUGGUUCAAUAGUGAAAGACGGUUUUGCUGUCACUUAUAGAUGGAUCCGCGCCGCAUUAGCUAGUUGGUAAGGUAACGGCUUACCAAGGCAACGAUGCGUAGCCGACCUGAGAGGGUGAUCGGAGAGAAGGGAAGUGAGACACGGGCGAGACGCGGACGGGAGGCAGCAGUAGGGAAUGUUGCGGAAUGGGGGAAAGGCGGACGGAGCAACAGAGAGGGAGUGAUGAAGGUGUUAGGAUCGUAAAAAUCUGUUGGUGGGGAAGAAGAAAAGUGGAAUUACAUAGGCAGGUCUUGACGGUACCGAAUGAGAAAGCCACGGCUAAAUACGUG